rnacentral:rRNA from 1 species
UUAAAUUGAAGAGUUUGAUCAUGGCUCAGAUUGAACGCUGGCGGCAGGCCUAACACAUGCAAGUCGAACGGUAACAGGAAGACAGCUUGCUGCUUUCGCUGACGAGUGGCGGACGGGUGAGUAAUGUCUGGGAAACUGCCUGAUGGAGGGGGAUAACUACUGGAAACGGUAGCUAAUACCGCAUAACGUCGCAAGACCAAAGAGGGGGACCUUCGGGCCUCUUGCCAUCGGAUGUGCCCAGAUGGGAUUAGCUUGUUGGUGGGGUAACGGCUCACCAAGGCGACGAUCCCUAGCUGGUCUGAGAGGAUGACCAGCCACACUGGAACUGAGACACGGUCCAGACUCCUACGGGAGGCAGCAGUGGGGAAUAUUGCACAAUGGGCGCAAGCCUGAUGCAGCCAUGCCGCGUGUAUGAAGAAGGCCUUCGGGUUGUAAAGUACUUUCAGCGGGGAGGAAGGGAGUAAAGUUAAUACCUUUGCUCAUUGACGUUACCCGCAGAAGAAGCACCGGCUAACUCCGUGCCAGCAGCCGCGGUAAUACGGAGGGUGCAAGCGUUAAUCGGAAUUACUGGGCGUAAAGCGCACGCAGGCGGUUUGUUAAGUCAGAUGUGAAAUCCCCGGGCUCAACCUGGGAACUGCAUCUGAUACUGGCAAGCUUGAGUCUCGUAGAGGGGGGUAGAAUUCCAGGUGUAGCGGUGAAAUGCGUAGAGAUCUGGAGGAAUACCGGUGGCGAAGGCGGCCCCCUGGACGAAGACUGACGCUCAGGUGCGAAAGCGUGGGGAGCAAACAGGAUUAGAUACCCUGGUAGUCCACGCCGUAAACGAUGUCGACUUGGAGGUUGUGCCCUUGAGGCGUGGCUUCCGGAGCUAACGCGUUAAGUCGACCGCCUGGGGAGUACGGCCGCAAGGUUAAAACUCAAAUGAAUUGACGGGGGCCCGCACAAGCGGUGGAGCAUGUGGUUUAAUUCGAUGCAACGCGAAGAACCUUACCUGGUCUUGACAUCCACGGAAGUUUUCAGAGAUGAGAAUGUGCCUUCGGGAACCGUGAGACAGGUGCUGCAUGGCUGUCGUCAGCUCGUGUUGUGAAAUGUUGGGUUAAGUCCCGCAACGAGCGCAACCCUUAUCCUUUGUUGCCAGCGGUCCGGCCGGGAACUCAAAGGAGACUGCCAGUGAUAAACUGGAGGAAGGUGGGGAUGACGUCAAGUCAUCAUGGCCCUUACGACCAGGGCUACACACGUGCUACAAUGGCGCAUACAAAGAGAAGCGACCUCGCGAGAGCAAGCGGACCUCAUAAAGUGCGUCGUAGUCCGGAUUGGAGUCUGCAACUCGACUCCAUGAAGUCGGAAUCGCUAGUAAUCGUGGAUCAGAAUGCCACGGUGAAUACGUUCCCGGGCCUUGUACACACCGCCCGUCACACCAUGGGAGUGGGUUGCAAAAGAAGUAGGUAGCUUAACCUUCGGGAGGGCGCUUACCACUUUGUGAUUCAUGACUGGGGUGAAGUCGUAACAAGGUAACCGUAGGGGAACCUGCGGUUGGAUCACCUCCUUACCUUAAAGAAGC